rnacentral:rRNA from 1 species
UACGAGGGGGGCAAGCGUUGUUCGGAAUUAUUGGGCGUAAAGGGCGCGUAGGCGGUGCGGUAAGUCACCUGUGAAAACUCUGGGCUCAACUCAGAGCCUGCAGGCGAAACUGCCGUGCUUGAGUGUGGGAGAGGUGCGUGGAAUUGCAGGUGUAGCGGUGAAAUGCGUAGAUAUCUGCAGGAACACCCGUGGCGAAAGCGGCGCGCUGGACCACUACUGACGCUGAGGAACGAAAGCUAGGGGAGCAAACAGG